CCUACGGGAGGCAGCAGUGGGGGAUAUUGCACAAUGGGGGGAACCCUGAUGCAGCGACGCCGCGUGGGUGAAGAAGCGCCUCGGCGCGUAAAGCCCUGUCAGCAGGGAAGAAAAUGACGGAACCUGAAGAAGAAGCCCCGGCUAACUACGUGCCAGCAGCCGCGGUAAUACGGAGGGGGCAAGCGUUAUCCGGUUUUACUGGGUGUAAGGGGGGCGCAGACGGCGAUGCAAGCCAGGAGUGAAAGCCCGGGGCCCAACCCCGGGACUGCUCUUGGAACUGCGUGGCUGGAGUGCAGGAGGGGCGGGCGGAAGUCCUGGUGGAGCGGUGAAAUGCGUAGAUAUCAGGAGGAACACCGGUGGCGAAGGCGGCCUGCUGGACUGCAACUGACGUUGAGGCCCGAAAGCGUGGGGAGCAAACAGGAUUAGAUACCCCAGUAGUC
rnacentral:rRNA from 1 species